rnacentral:rRNA from 1 species
AAGGCAUCUUUUUGUUUUUAAAAGACCUUCUUACGAAGGUAUGCUUAAAGAGGGGCUUGCGCCACAUUAGUUAGUUGGUAGAGUAAAAGCCUACCAAGACGAUGAUGUGUAGCUGGACUGAGAGGUUGAACAGCCACAUUGGGACUGAGACACGGCCCAAACUCCUACGGGAGGCAGCAGUAGGGAAUUUUCGGCAAUGGAGGAAACUCUGACCGAGCAACGCCGCGUGAACGAUGAAGUAUUUCGGUAUGUAAAGUUCUUUUAUUGAAGAAGAAAAAGUAGUGGAAAAACUAUAUUGACGUUAUUCAAUGAAUAAGCCCCGGCUAACUAUGUGCCAGCAGCCGCGGUAAGACAUAGGGGGCGAGCGUUAUCCGGAAUUAUUGGGCGUAAAGGGUGCGUAGGCUGUUAGAUAAGUCUAUAAUUUAAUUUCAGUGCUUAACGCUGUCUUGUUAUAGAAACUGUCUUGACUAGAGUGAGAUAGAGGCAAGCGGAAUUCCAUGUGUAGCGGUAAAAUGUGUAAAUAUAUGGAGGAACACCAGAAGCGUAGGCGGCUUGCUGGGUCUUUACUGACGCUGAGGCACGAAAGCGUGGGUAGCAAACAGGAUUAGAUACCCUGGUAGUCCACGCCGUAAACGAUGAGUACUAAGUGUCGGGGUAAAACUCGGUACUGAAGUUAACACAUUAAGUACUCCGCCUGAGUAGUACGUACGCAAGUAUGAAACUUAAAGGAAUUGACGGGACUCCGCACAAGCGGUGGAUCAUGUUGUUUAAUUCGAAGAUACACGAAAAAUCUUACCAGGUCUUGACAUACUCUGCAAAGCUAUAGAAAUAUAGUGGAGGUUAUCAGGGAUACAGGUGGUGCAUGGUUGUCGUCAGUUCGUGUCGUGAGAUGUUAGGUUAAGUCCUAAAACGAACGCAACCCUUGUCGUUAAUUGCCAGCACAUAAUGGUGGGGACUUUAACGAGACUGCCAAUUAAACAUUGGAGGAAGGUGAGGAUUACGUCAAAUCAUCAUGCCCCUUAUGAUCUGGGCUACAAACGUGAUACAAUGGCUGUGACAAAGAGUAGCUGAAACGCGAGUUUUUAGCCAAUCUCAAAAAAGCAGUCUCAGUUCGGAUUGAAGUCUGUAACUCGACUUCAUGAAGUUGGAAUCGCUAGUAAUCGCGAAUCAGCAUGUCGCGG